rnacentral:rRNA from 1 species
UACGUAUGGGGCAAGCGUUGUUCGGAUUUAUUGGGCGUAAAGGGCGUGUAGGCGGCUCACCAAGUCUGGUGUGAAAAGGCAGGGCUUAACCCUGCUCAUGCACUGGAAACUGGUGGGCUGGAGUUCUUGAGGGGAAGCUGGAAUUCCAGGUGUAGGGGUGAAAUCUGUAGAUAUCUGGAAGAACACCGGUGGCGAAGGCGAGCUUCUAUCAGAGGACUGACGCUGAGGCGCGAAAGCGUGGGGAGCAAACAGG